rnacentral:rRNA from 1 species
AGAGUUUGAUCCUGGCUCAGGAUGAACGCUAGCGGCAGGCCUAACACAUGCAAGUCGAGGGGUAGAGGAAGCUUGCUCCCUUGAGACCGGCGCACGGGUGCGUAACGCGUAUGCAAUCUACCUUAUACUAAGGGAUAGCCCAGAGAAAUUUGGAUUAAUACCUUAUAGGAUAUAGGAAUGGCAUCAUUUCUAUAUUAAAGAUUAAUUGGUAUAAGAUGAGCAUGCGUCCCAUUAGUUAGUUGGUGUGGUAACGGCACACCAAGACGAUGAUGGGUAGGGGUCCUGAGAGGGAGAUCCCCCACACUGGUACUGAGACACGGACCAGACUCCUACGGGAGGCAGCAGUGAGGAAUAUUGGUCAAUGGACGCAAGUCUGAACCAGCCAUGCCGCGUGCAGGAUGACGGUUCUAUGGAUUGUAAACUGCUUUUGUACAGGAAGAAACACUCCCUUGCGAGGGAACUUGACGGUACUGUAAGAAUAAGGAUCGGCUAACUCCGUGCCAGCAGCCGCGGUAAUACGGAGGAUCCAAGCGUUAUCCGGAAUCAUUGGGUUUAAAGGGUCCGUAGGCGGCCUUAUAAGUCAGCGGUGAAAGUUUUUGGCUUAACCAAAAAAUUGCCAUUGAUACUGUAGGGCUUGAAUAUUUGUGAAGUAACUAGAAUAUGUAGUGUAGCGGUGAAAUGCUUAGAUAUUACAUGGAAUACCAAUUGCGAAGGCAGGUUACUAACAAAUGAUUGACGCUGAUGGACGGAAGCGUGGGUAGCGAACAGGAUUAGAUACCCUGGUAGUCCACGCCGUAAACGAUGGAUACUAGCUGUUUGAGCGCAAGUUUGA